CGCCUUUUGGCUGCGCCAUUAGCUUAGAUAAACACAGAUAAAAGGGCUGAGUAACCUCACCCACCUCUGAGGCAAGACGCUGGCAGCGUAGAAACAGAUGGACAAGGUGACACGGAUGUCGGUGGCGCCCCCAAGGAAGGGUUCAGGGGAAGAAAUGGACCCCUGAUAUAAUUGUUGGCCACUCCGCUGGCUACUCUAGGUUGUGGGGGGGCUGAAGCCGAUCCCAGCUGACAUUGGGUGAGCGGCGGGGUACAUCCUGGAUAAGGAACCACAUAGCUUCACUUUGCGAGGCUGGAUUAACCAGCAGAAUCCUCGCAUCCUUUCAAGUCUUUAGUUCAUCCAGAUCAUUGUGUUGUUUAUAUGGGCCUUUAAAUUUAUAAUGCUUAUGACGAUACAGUGUGAGAACUUCUCCCUUUUCCUCCAUGAAAACUUUAUGAUUUUUUUUCUUUAUGAUUUUUAUCGCUCAAUAAUUUAGCCAUCUGACAGAUUGCUCCAAAGUUUACGACUCCGGAUAGCGAAUCAGUCCGACUUCAGAAUAGCACAUACUCACACACUGGCACAUAAACAUGUUCUCACAUACAUUUUCACACACCACGCUACAUAUUCACUGUGAUCACAUACGCUAUACAAAUCUCUAUAAUGCAAGCGGAGCAGUGUGGAGCUAUUUUCCCCGGGUAUCGACUCUCUGCCGCCAUGUUUUCACCAGAGAUAACCUGCUGACUUUCAACCCAAAUCGAAGCAUUGGCAAUUACAGUGUGUAAUUCAGCCCCUCGGGUAAACGGCGCUGCAGGUGCCGCAGUUAAAUAUGUCAGCGUGUUUUUAUGUCAUUAGUGCGUGUAAACAUGCAGCCGCGAUAAUCACAACCUUCGCGGCAGAUUUAUGCACCGAGGGGCUGGAUGCAUCAGAAAAGCAGAAAUUAUCAGCUCACCCGCCGGUGACUCUUACACACCACCUCUUUAUGCAGAUUACAGGAUGUAGGUGGGGCGGCCGCGCUCAUCGCAGCACAGACUGCUCCUCACACCAACACCCACAGACCAACAGGCUGGUGGAACAGCUAAACACCGGCCAGAAAAAGAGCAAGCGGCGCUUUAGCCGAGAGCUGGCCAGGCCACUGCCAGUCUGCAGCUAUGAGUAAGACGGAUGACUAAGCAGAGGACAAAAAACCAAAAGAUUGUAUGUUUGUGCACAGCAAACUUGUAAUAACAUAACGUGUUAUUUAAUCAGGUGACGCGUCUCUGAUUUGGCAUCUCAGUCAAAACAAGUGAAUCACGUCAGGAAACGUGUGCGGUCUUCAGCGUCGACUUCACUGUCAGCUGGAGUUUCCGCUUGAACAUUCUUCCCUUUAUCUGGUUUCCUUACGUUUGGACUUACUCUUAGUUUAGUUUUGGUUCUGUAUCCAUGCUGCUGCUUUCUUACCGCCUCUUUGCUAAGGCUGGAUUUCCAGUUCUACUUCUGUAUUCCUAAUAAUUCACUGUUAGUACAGUAAAUGUCAUCACAUCCUGUACGGUGGACUAUUUGUUACGGGAAAGCUCUAGCUGUUGCUGCGACAACAAAGAAUAAGGCACGUAGCCGAUGAAGAAGGAGAACUGUAUCUGUACCGACCGUUUGCUAGCACUCAUACAAUUUUCAAUUAAUCUAGCAAGCGCUUUUUGUCAAAAUUAAGAGCGUAUUUCUAUGAAAAGUUACUUAAAAGUACAAGUUUUUAAGUGGUUGCCACAUUUUUUGAUAACUGCCUCUAGCAGAUCUAUUUUUAGCGAGGUAGCUAAUCAAGCUAACAUUAGCUCCAUGUGUUGGUUGAAAACAUUGCCUCCAGCUGACUUUUUAAUGUUCCAAGCUGAAAGAAAGCCUUUAAAAGGAUCUUGAAUGUACCCAAUGAUUCAAACAUACAUGAUCUCAGACUUUCAACCUCCUAACUGAAAAGUACCUACAAUGGAACACCACUCAAAGUCAGAAUACCCAUUUGUUAGCUUGAGAAGACAGUAUUUCUUUUAGGCUGGGGGCGGGCGGUUUGGCGUUUCAAAGUAUGGAAGUACUAUAAAAUAAAACAUAUAUUUGG